rnacentral:rRNA from 1 species
AUACGUAGGGUGCAAGCGUUAAUCGGAAUUACUGGGCGUAAAGCGUGCGCAGGCGGUUUUGUAAGACAGUGGUGAAAUCCCCGGGCUCAACCUGGGAGCUGCCAUUGUGACGGCAAGGCUGGAGUGCGGCAGAGGGGGAUGGAAUUCCGCGUGUAGCAGGGAAAUGCGUAGAUAUGCGGAGGAACACCGAUGGCGAAGGCAAUCCCCUGGGCCUGCACUGACGCUCAUGCACGAAAGCGUGGGGAGCAAACAGGAUUAGAUACCCUGGUAGUCCACGCCCUAAACGAUGUCAACUGGUUGUUGGGGAUUUAUUUUCUCAGUAACGAAGCUAACGCGUGAAGUUGACCGCCUGGGGAGUACGGCCGCAAGGUUGAAACUCAAAUGAAUUGACGGGG